rnacentral:rRNA from 1 species
CAAACGCUGGCGGCGUGCCUAAUACAUGCAAGUCGAACGAGGUAGCAAUACCUAGUGGCGCACGGGUGAGUAACGCGUGGAUAAUCUGCCUUGGAGUGGGGGAUAACGAGUCGAAAGACUCGCUAAUACCGCGUAAGACCACAGGAGCUGCGGCUCUAGGGGUCAAAGGUUUUUCGUUCCAAGAUGAGUCCGCGUAAGAUUAGCUAGUUGGUGAGGUAAUGGCUCACCAAGGCGACGAUCUUUAACUGGUCUGAGAGGAUGAUCAGUCACACUGGAACUGAGACACGGUCCAGACUCCUACGGGAGGCAGCAGUAGGGAAUAUUGCACAAUGGGGGAAACCCUGAUGCAGCGACGCCGCGUGAGUGAUGAAGGCCUUCGGGUCGUAAAGCUCUGUCGCAGGGGAAUAACACAAUGAAUGUACCCUGCAAGAAAGGAUCGGCUAACUUCGU